AUGUGCUGGUGUCAUUACUUCUCCCCGGCUUCCUCCCCAGGUCUCCCAUCCCUUCCUCCCCAGUAUCUCCGGCCACACGUUUUGCGGGCAGCUCCCGGCUGGAUGCAGGGGAAGCACGUCUUGACUGCAAUGCCAACCCUGUCCCGGUCUGAACCAGGGAAGGCAGGCUCGGGCCCGGCCGGGGGUGUGAACGAAGGCUGCAGAGAAGGCUGCAGGGGAGCCAGCAGCGGGUGGGCAGGGGUGCCCCGAGAGGGCAGUCCGCAGUGCACGCGCACAAUAAAACCCAAUGCACAACUUCCCAGCCGCUCCUCUCGGCUCCCCAGCUUCCCAGAAAGGUGCGGCGUAGGCGUUAGCUGGAGCGGGCGCGGGCGCGCGGGUUCAGUUCUCCGCCGACAAUUACAUCAGUCUCUGUCCCUGCCCCAGCUUCCAACCCAGCAGCCGGGGCGCGGGGAGCGCGGGGGGGAUGCGGGCGGGAGAGCCGGGCGCCCGGAAUUCCCUACCACGAGGGGGAGGGGAGGGCGGGGAGCGGGGACCAUGACCCAGACGCCCCCUCCCACCACGGCCGCGGGGCGGGAUUGUCACCGCCACCUCCCGCUGUCCAGCCAGGGGAACCCCUGGAAGGCUACGACGCCUCGGGGGCCCAAAGCGGGACUGCCCGGCCGCGCGUCCCUGAGGGUCCUCGGCCCUCCGGCCGCGCACAAUGCCCCCGGGCCGCGGUGCGGGCACCGUAGUGUGGUUCCGGGUGUCCCCUCCGCAGCUAGGACACCUACCGGGAAGACGAGCAACGGUGCAGCCGAUGGUGUGGUGGCAGCGACGGGAGGCGGGAGACGGCCCCGGCGGACGGGCGCGCGGGCCGGCCGGGGAGCCGAGGCGCGGGCGCCGCCUGCGUGGAGCCGCGGUCUCCGGCACCCACAGCGGCGGCGGCGGCGGCGGCGCUGCGCCUCCAGUGGUCCGCGGCGCCGCAGCCCCUCCUCUCCCACGGGCGGGGCGCGCUGGCGGGGCGGCGCUCCCGGCUCCCCGCCCCCGGCUCCCGCUGGCUGGCGGAGCCGGAGUGGAACCGCUGGCUCGCCGGACCUGCUGGACACCUUCUCUGAGCCUCCGGGAGAGCCGCGGGCUGGGCGCGCCGAGCCUCGGGACGCGCGGGGGUCUCACUGCCUGGGCUCACCCCCAGCCGGCCCCGGUGGGAACACCCCUGCUGUCCAGAGACCACAGCCGUGGAGCCCCUUACCCGGCAAACCCGGGCCUGAGCGCCGUAGAAACGACCCGGUUCGCCCUAGCUCCAGCCAGCGGAGGUGGACCAGCCCUGGCUCGCACGGGUUAGCCCAGAUGGUCCCAGCGCUCGGGGCCGGGAGAGCAGCCGCUCGAACACCGUGGGAGAGCGGAUUCGGAAGAGAACAGCAGCCCGGUCACCUCCCCGGGGACGAUGCCCAGCCCCCGUCUCGGGCCUUCAUUCAGGUGAUCAGUAAACAGACAGGACUGCGUUUGCCUGCUCCCAGCCGUCCCUGA
rnacentral:lncRNA from 1 species